AUUGAACGCUGGCGGCAGGCCUAACACAUGCAAGUCGAACGCGUGGCAGACGGGUGAGUAAUGUCUGGGAAACUGCCUGAUGGAGGGGGCUAACUACUGGAAACGGUAGCUAAUACCGCAUACCAUCAGAUGUGCCCAGAUGGGAUUAGCUAGUCGGUGGGGGAACGGCUCACCUAGGCGACGAUCCCUAGCUGGUCUGAGCGGAUGACCAGCCACACUGGAACUGAGAAACGGUCCAGACUCCUACGGAAGGCAGCAGUGGGGAAUAUUGCACAAUGGGCGCAAGCCUGAUGCAGCCAUGCCGCGUGUAUGAAGAAGGCCUUCGGGUUGUAAAGUACUUUCAGCGGGGAGGCGUUACCCGCAGAAGAAGCACCGGCUAACUCCGUGCCAGCAGCCGCGGUAAUUC
rnacentral:rRNA from 1 species